GGAGCUUUGUAAAAGCUUACUGGAGUCCUGUCCCACAAACUGCCAGUUAUUGGAAACCCUCGCAGCUUUGUAUUUGAAAACAGAUUGUUAUGACAAAGCCCGAUGGGUUUGGCUUACUGCAUUUGAAAAUAAUCCUCAGAAUGCGGAAAUUUUUUAUCAUCUCUGCAAAUUUUUCAUCUUGCAGAACGGAGGUGAUAAGCUUCUUCCACUUUUGAGACAAUUUAUUGGAUCCUUCUUUAAACCUGGCUUUGAGAAGUAUAGUAAUGUGGAUUUAUUUCGGUAUCUCUUAAAUAUCCCAGGACCACUUGACAUUCCAGCGUGCUUAUGUAAAGGAAAUUUUGAUGAUGAUGUAUUUAACAACCAAGUCCCUUAUUUAUGGCUGAUUUACUGCCUUUGUCAUCCUCUUCAGUCAAGUAUUAAAGAGACAAUAGAAGCAUAUGAAGCAGCAUUAGGGGUGGCCAUGAGGUCUGAUAUCGUGCAGAAGAUUUGGAUGGAGUAAGUUUAGCUCUGUUUAAGAAAGGGAUUUUUGGAGUAGUCCUAUGGUGGGGAAAGGGUGAUCAUCUUUUUGCUGAGUUACUGGCUUAAUUAUUCUGAAGCACAAUGUCUUUCUUUUGGCAGUUAUCUUGUCUUUGCCAAUAAUAGAGCUGCUGGAUCCAGAAAUAAAGUCCAAGAAUUCAAAUUUUUUACUGACUUAGUGAAUAGAUGUUUGGUUA
rnacentral:lncRNA from 1 species